rnacentral:rRNA from 1 species
CAGUAACGGCGAGUGAAGCGGUAACAGCUCAAAUUUGAAAGCUAGCUCUUUUAGGGUUCGCAUUGUAAUUUGUAGAAGAUGCUUCGGGUGUGGCCCCGGUCUAAGUUCCUUGGAACAGGACGUCAUAGAGGGUGAGAAUCCCGUAUGUGACUGGGUGCUUUCGCUCAUGUGAAGCUCUUUCGACGAGUCGAGUUGUUUGGGAAUGCAGCUCAAAAUGGGUGGUAAAUUUCAUCUAAAGCUAAAUAUUGGCCAGAGACCGAUAGCGCACAAGUAGAGUGAUCGAAAGAUGAAAAGCACUUUGGAAAGAGAGUUAAACAGUACGUGAAAUUGUUGAAAGGGAAGCGCUUGCAACCAGACUUGCGCGCUGAUGAUCAUCCGGGCUUCUGCCCGGUGCACUCGUCUGCGCUCAGGCCAGCAUCGGUUUCGGUGGUGGGAUAAAGGCCUUGGGAAUGUAGCUUCUUUCGGGGAGUGUUAUAGCCCUCGGUGCAAUGCCGCCUACCGGGACCGAGGACCGCGCUUCGGCUAGGAUGCUGGCGUAAUGGUUGUAAGCGACCCGUCUUGAAACACGGACCAAGGAGUCUAACAUCUAUGCGAGUGUUUGGGUGUCAAACCCAUACGCGUAAUGAAAGUGAACGGAGGUGAGAACCCUUAAGGGUGCAUCAUCGACCGAUCCUGAUGUCUUCGGAUGGAUUUGAGUAAGAGCAUAGCUGUUGGGACCCGAAAGAUGGUGAACUAUGCGUGAAUAGGGUGAAGCCAGAGGAAACUCUGGUGGAGGCUCGCAGCGGUUCUGACGUGCAAAUCGAUCGUCAAAUUUGCGUAUAGGGG